rnacentral:rRNA from 1 species
CCUACGGGAGGCAGCAGUGAGGAAUAUUGGUCAAUGGACGAGAGUCUGAACCAGCCAAGUAGCGUGAAGGAUGACUGCCCUAUGGGUUGUAUACUUCUUUUAUAUGGGAAUAAAGUGUUCCACGUGGGGGAUUUUGUAUGUACCAUAUGAAUUAGGAUCGGCUAACUCCGUGCUUGAAGCCGCGGUAAUACGGAGGAUACGAGCGUUAUCCGGAUUUAUUGGGUUUAAAGGGAGCGUAGGUGGAUUGUUAAGUCAGUUGUGAAAGUUUGCGGAUCAACCGUAAAAUUGCAGUUGAAACUGGCAGUCUUGAGUACAGUAGAGGUGGGCGGAAUUCGUGGUGUAGCGGUGAAAUGCUUAGAUAUCACGAAGAACUCCGAUUGCGAAGGCAGUUCACUGGACUGCAACUGACACUGAGGCUCGAAAGUGUGGGUAUCAAACAGGAUUAGAUACCCUUGUAGUC